UACGUAGGGUGCGAGCGUUGUCCGGAAUUAUUGGGCGUAAAGAGCUCGUAGGCGGUGUGUCGCGUCGGUCGUGAAAACUUGGGGCUUAACCCUGAGCUUGCGGUCGAUACGGGCAUCACUGGAGUUCGGCAGGGGAGACUGGAAUUCCUGGUGUAGCGGUGAAAUGCGCAGAUAUCAGGAGGAACACCGAUGGCGAAGGCAGAUCUCUGGGCCGUAACUGACGCUGAGGAGCGAAAGCGUGGGGAGCGAACAGG
rnacentral:rRNA from 1 species